rnacentral:lncRNA from 1 species
UAAAUUGUGACUCAGCCCAGUGAUUUCAGUCACUUUGAUCACUGUUCAACCUGGAAGUGUUGAAAUACUUACCAAGCCCCAAGGAGUGCAGUCCGCCAUGCAGAUAGAGACUGCUGUCCUGGAAGCUUCAGGAAACCAGCUUGUGGAUCAGUCCAGCUUGUGAUGGGUUGCAGAGUUCCUGUCUUCCAUUCAUGUUGUGUUGGGUUCUGACAGCUCCAGGGGAAGGCCAUGCCUCCCAUGGCCAGAGCUGAGCUGCAGGUUGUUCUGUGCUCUGUGCAGAUUGGCUCGCCGGGUGCUGGCUGAACUUGUCCCCACAUCGGGUGAUCAUCUGGAAUGAUGCUGGCGAAGUGAGUAGUGCCCUAGAUUGUCUGUAACUCUCAAUUGUUUUUAACAGGGAAAAUUUCCAUUGCCCUUCUCCUGG